AGGAGUGACUCCUAGUACGAGAGGACCGGAGUGAACGAACCGCUAGUGUACCGGUUGUCCUGCCAAGGGCACCGCCGGGUAGCUAUGUUCGGAAGGGAUAACCGCUGAAAGCAUCUAAGCGGGAAGCCUGCUUCGAGAUGAGGUCUCCCACCAGGGAACUGGGUAAGGCCCCCAGCUAGACGACUGGGUUGAUAGGCCGGAGGUGGAAGUGCGGCAACGCAUGAAGCUGACCGGUACUAAUAGGCCGAGGACUUGACUAC
rnacentral:rRNA from 1 species